UACGGGGGGGGCAAGCGGUUGUUCGGAAUUACUGGGCGUAAAGGGUUCGUAGGUGGCCAACUUAGUCAGACGUGAAAUCCCUCAGCUUAACUGGGGAACUGCGUCUGAUACUGGAUGGCUCGAGUGCAGGAGAGGAACGCGGAAUCCAGGUGUAGCGGUGAAAUGCGUAGAUAUCUGGAGGAACACCGGUGGCGAAGGCGGCGUUCUGGACUGCAACUGACACUGAGGAACGAAAGCCAGGGGAGCAAACGGG
rnacentral:rRNA from 1 species